rnacentral:rRNA from 1 species
CAGCUAGUUGGUAAGGUAACGGCUUACCAAGGCUACGAUGUUUAGGGGAUCUGAGAGGAUGACCCCCCACACUGGUACUGAGACACGGACCAGACUCCUACGGGAGGCAGCAGUAAGGAAUAUUGGUCAAUGGGCGGAAGCCUGAACCAGCCAUGCCGCGUGCAGGAAGACGGCCCUACGGGUUGUAAACUGCUUUUACAGGGGAAUAAACCUCGGUACGUGUACCGAGCUGAAUGUACUCUGAGAAUAAGGAUCGGCUAACUCCGUGCCAGCAGCCGCGGUAAUACGGAGGAUCCAAGCGUUAUCCGGAUUUAUUGGGUUUAAAGGGUGCGUAGGUGGCCUGUUAAGUCAGGGGUGAAAGACGGUAGCUCAACUAUCGCAGUGCCCUUGAUACUGAUGGGCUUGAAUAAACUAGAGGUAGGCGGAAUGUGACAAGUAGCGGUGAAAUGCAUAGAUAUGUCACAGAACACCAAUUGCGAAGGCAGCUUACUAUGGUUUUAUUGACACUGAGGCACGAAAGCGUGGGGAUCAAACAGGAUUAGAUACCCUGGUAGUCCACGCCCUAAACGAUGAAUACUCGAUGUUGGCGAUAUACGGUCAGCGUCUAAGCGAAAGCGUUAAGUAUUCCACCUGGGGAGUACGCCC